rnacentral:rRNA from 1 species
UACGGAGGGUGCAAGCGUUAUCCGGAAUCACUGGGUUUAAAGGGUGCGUAGGCGGCCCGAUCAGUCAGUCGUGAAAUCGCUGGGCUUAACCCAUGCAACUGCGAUUGAUACUGUCGGGCUUGAAUCAGGUUGAGGCAGGCGGAAUGUGACAUGUAGCGGUGAAAUGCAUAGAUAUGUCAUAGAACACCGAUUGCGAAGGCAGCUUGCUGGACCUUGAUUGACGCUGAGGCACGAAAGCGUGGGGAGCAAACAGG